AACCUCGGCAUCCCCAAGAUGGCCGCCACCUCCUCCUUCUCCUUCCUCCUCCUCCUCAUCAUGGCCGCCGUGCCAGGCAAGAUGGCGGCCGUGGAGCUGGCGGAGUCCGGCGGCGGCCUCAACGCCCCCGGGGGGUCCUUGAGUCUCCUCUGCAAGGCCUCGGGCGAGGCCGCCGCCAUCUUGUGGGUGCGUCAGCGCCCCGGCAAAGGCUUGGAGUGGGUGGGGGGCUUCGGCAAGAUGGCCGCCACCGCCCCGGCGCUGAGGCCCCGCGUCGCCAUCUUCAGAGAGGGGUCCCGGGGCGCCGCCAGGAUGCGAUUGGACGACCUGAGGGCUGAGGACACCGCCACCUACUACUGCGCCAAAGAUGGUGGACACGGCGGGGAAGGCCCCGCGGGGAGGCCGGGCAAAAAGGGAAAAUAA